rnacentral:rRNA from 1 species
GGUUAAGCGACUAAGCGUACACGGUGGAUGCCCUGGCAGUCAGAGGCGAUGAAGGACGUGCUAAUCUGCGAUAAGCGUCGGUAAGGUGAUAUGAACCGUUAUAACCGGCGAUUUCCGAAUGGGGAAACCCAGUGUGAUUCGUCACACUAUCAUUAACUGAAUCCAUAGGUUAAUGAGGCGAACCGGGGGAACUGAAACAUCUAAGUACCCCGAGGAAAAGAAAUCAACCGAGAUUCCCCCAGUAGCGGCGAGCGAACGGGGAGCAGCCCAGAGCCUGAAUCAGUGUGUGUGUUAGUGGAAGCGUCUGGAAAGGCGCGCGAUACAGGGUGACAGCCCCGUACACAAAAAUGCACAUGCUGUGAGCUCGAUGAGUAGGGCGGGACACGUGGUAUCCUGUCUGAAUAUGGGGGGACCAUCCUCCAAGGCUAAAUACUCCUGACUGACCGAUAGUGAACCAGUACCGUGAGGGAAAGGCGAAAAGAACCCCGGCGAGGGGAGUGAAAAAGAACCUGAAACCGUGUACGUACAAGCAGUGGGAGCACGCUUAGGCGUGUGACUGCGUACCUUUUGUAUAAUGGGUCAGCGACUUAUAUUCUGUAGCAAGGUUAACCGAAUAGGGGAGCCGAAGGGAAACCGAGUCUUAACUGGGCGUUAAGUUGCAGGGUAUAGACCCGAAACCCGGUGAUCUAGCCAUGGGCAGGUUGAAGGUUGGGUAACACUAACUGGAGGACCGAACCGACUAAUGUUGAAAAAUUAGCGGAUGACUUGUGGCUGGGGGUGAAAGGCCAAUCAAACCGGGAGAUAGCUGGUUCUCCCCGAAAGCUAUUUAGGUAGCGCCUCGUGAAUUCAUCUCCGGGGGUAGAGCACUGUUUCGGCAAGGGGGUCAUCCCGACUUACCAACCCGAUGCAAACUGCGAAUACCGGAGAAUGUUAUCACGGGAGACACACGGCGGGUGCUAACGUCCGUCGUGAAGAGGGAAACAACCCAGACCGCCAGCUAAGGUCCCAAAGUCAUGGUUAAGUGGGAAACGAUGUGGGAAGGCCCAGACAGCCAGGAUGUUGGCUUAGAAGCAGCCAUCAUUUAAAGAAAGCGUAAUAGCUCACUGGUCGAGUCGGCCUGCGCGGAAGAUGUAACGGGGCUAAACCAUGCACCGAAGCUGCGGCAGCGACGCUGAUGCGUUGUUGGGUAGGGGAGCGUUCUGUAAGCCUGCGAAGGUGUGCUGUGAGGCAUGCUGGAGGUAUCAGAAGUGCGAAUGCUGACAUAAGUAACGAUAAAGCGGGUGAAAAGCCCGCUCGCCGGAAGACCAAGGGUUCCUGUCCAACGUUAAUCGGGGCAGGGUGAGUCGACCCCUAAGGCGAGGCCGAAAGGCGUAGUCGAUGGGAAACAGGUUAAUAUUCCUGUACUUGGUGUUACUGCGAAGGGGGGACGGAGAAGGCUAUGUUGGCCGGGCGACGGUUGUCCCGGUUUAAGCGUGUAGGCUGGUUUUCCAGGCAAAUCCGGAAAAUCAAGGCUGAGGCGUGAUGACGAGGCACUACGGUGCUGAAGCAACAAAUGCCCUGCUUCCAGGAAAAGCCUCUAAGCAUCAGGUAACAUCAAAUCGUACCCCAAACCGACACAGGUGGUCAGGUAGAGAAUACCAAGGCGCUUGAGAGAACUCGGGUGAAGGAACUAGGCAAAAUGGUGCCGUAACUUCGGGAGAAGGCACGCUGAUAUGUAGGUGAAGCGACUUGCUCGUGGAGCUGAAAUCAGUCGAAGAUACCAGCUGGCUGCAACUGUUUAUUAAAAACACAGCACUGUGCAAACACGAAAGUGGACGUAUACGGUGUGACGCCUGCCCGGUGCCGGAAGGUUAAUUGAUGGGGUUAGCGCAAGCGAAGCUCUUGAUCGAAGCCCCGGUAAACGGCGGCCGUAACUAUAACGGUCCUAAGGUAGCGAAAUUCCUUGUCGGGUAAGUUCCGACCUGCACGAAUGGCGUAAUGAUGGCCAGGCUGUCUCCACCCGAGACUCAGUGAAAUUGAACUCGCUGUGAAGAUGCAGUGUACCCGCGGCAAGACGGAAAGACCCCGUGAACCUUUACUAUAGCUUGACACUGAACAUUGAGCCUUGAUGUGUAGGAUAGGUGGGAGGCUUUGAAGUGUGGACGCCAGUCUGCAUGGAGCCGACCUUGAAAUACCACCCUUUAAUGUUU